UAGUACGGCGAGUGAGAGGGAAGAAGCCCAAGAUUGAAAGCUGGCGUCUUCGGCGUCCGCAUUGUAAUCUCAAGAAGUGUUUUCCGCUUCGGACCAUGCCUAAGUCCCCUGGAAAGGGGCAUCAUAGAGGGUGAUAAUCCCGUACAUGGCAUGGAGCGCCCGAAGCUUUGUGAUACGCUUUCUAAGAGUCGAGUUGUUUGGGAAUGCAGCUCAAAAUGGGUGGUAAAUGCCAUCUAAGGCUAAAUAUUGGGGAGAGACCGAUAGCGAACAAGUACAGUGAUGGAAAGAUGAAAAGAACUUUGAAAAGAGAGUUAAACAGUACGUGAAAUUGCCAAAAGGGAAGGGUAGGAGGUCAGAGAUGCGUCUUGGGAUUCAGCCUUGCUUCUGCUUGGUGUUUUUCCCAAGUUUGCAGGCCAACGUCGGUUUUGGGCACUGGAGAAGGGUAGAAGGAACGUGGCACCUCUCGGGGUGUGUUAUAGCCUUCUACUGGAUACAGCGACCGAGACCGAGGACAGCAGCGUACUCGCAAGAGCGGGCCUUCGGGCACCUUUACGCUUAGGGCGUUGGCAUAAUGGCCCUCUACCACCCGUC
rnacentral:rRNA from 1 species